GAGGACUCGGUUCGCAGCAGUCUAGAUUAAUGCUCUUCUGUAAGAAACGCUUGACAGAGGUCAAACACGAAGCCGAGGUGACAGCUGUUCACCGAUCUACUUUAUAAAUAAUGUAUGGCAGUCCUAUAUUUUCAAUCCCUUUCAACUGACGGAGACUUCACUUCUUAUCCAGAAGAUUGAUUCAGAUUAAAAGGAGGAGGCCGAAUACUCAUCACUGAGGAAGGCCCCGCCUCCUGCCAUUCCUAGUUCAGAAGCUGAAGCUCAGUGAUUUUCCGGCCUUCACUUAAGCCUCUUGGGAAAAAAACAGGGUGUCCAAAGUUGGCCCUUUCUCUCCUGGUCUUUCUUCCAACCUUGUUCUAAAUGGUAUAAUCAAACUGAUUACUGUAAACCUCCAUCCAGACAGAAGCAGUUCCUUAUAUUAUUUUACCUGUUAAACCAGGUGGAAUGGCCCUCCAGGACCAUGAUUGGACACCCCUGAAAUAAACCUCAUGAUCUAAUGUUAACUCUGACGAUAACACUACUGUAUUGAUUAACCCCCCCCCCCCCUUUCUGUUCUUGGGCUUGCAUCCUACACUUGGAUAUGUCAUUGUUCCAUCUGAUUCAAUUACUCUUUUGCUUUUAGUGCCUAAUGAUAAAACAUAAAAAAAGAGAUAAAAAAGGAAUUUCCUUGGAUAUUUAAAAAGUGGGGUGUGGAUUUGAUUUUACUUCAGCAAGUCAUACGUGAACUUCUUGUGAUAUAUCUGAGCAUGCACCCUUUCAGUUAAAAAAAAAAAACCUGUGCCAAAAGAAAUGUAUCACAUAUUUUUUUUCCAGCUUUGCAAAUCGAUGGGCACUGCACCAGCAUAAUCAGUUCACCGUAACUACAGUAACCAUGUAGUUCUGUACAGAGCUGGACAUCCCACUGAGUUCCUAACCAGCUUACUGUCUAA